GCACUGCCUUUGACCGCUUGCGCGCGGCGGCGCGGGGAGUCCGGCUGCAGCGCCAAAGCACGCACUUGCGCGAAACGGGGCCAUGUGGCCCCCGCGGAGGCGGCCCUUUUAACCGAGAACCGAGA
rnacentral:snoRNA from 1 species